rnacentral:rRNA from 1 species
UACGGGGGGGGCAAGCGUUGUUCGGAAUUACUGGGCGUAAAGGGCUUGUAGGUGGCCAACUAAGUCAGACGUGAAAUCCCUCAGCUUAACUGGGGAACUGCUUCUGAUACUGGAUGGCUUGAGUUUGGGAGAGGGAUGCGGAAUUCCAGGUGUAGCGGUGAAAUGCGUAGAUAUCUGGAGGAACACCGGUGGCGAAGGCGGCAUCCUGGACCAACACUGACACUGAAAAGCGAAAGCUAGGGGAGCAAACGGG